CCAAUUUCCCCCAAAACGAACCCUAAGCCCCCAAAUCAAAUCUCCCAAAGUUGGAACUCAAACUUCACCACCUCCGGCCACACUUCAGACGACCUCACAGUCGGCGCUCCGACUGCACUUCAAUCGGGGGGUUUGGCCAUCGCCUCACCGUUUCGAGCCACGAGUUUGUUGUCGUUUCCAUCCAUUUCCACCAGCUCUGGAUUCACCGUUGUUGACCGACAAAGGUUUUGUUUGUCAUAUGGCAUCGCGUAGUUGAACUUCGGGAUAUUGCAAUCUUCAUCUCCCGGUUUCGCACAUAUUUUAUUAUUGAUGAACUGUUGGUGUGUUUGCAUGAAAUUUUUAUUCUUUUUAAUUUCAUUGUGCAAUGUCAUUAUGCAUCGUUAUCACUAUUUUCCUGUGUCACUAUGAAGCUGCUGUUUGUGUUUUUUUUUUUCUACCUCCAUGGUUUUUCAUAGUGUAGUGCUACUAAAUUGAAGGGGGCUCUAACAUGGUGCAUUACUGAUGAAGAAAACUCUAUAUGUUGCAUUCCAACUUCUUGUUAGCAAUUGUCACCAAUCACAGCCUUGUUAUUGCACGAUCACUGUGAAAUUUGAGAUGAAAUAAUCAAUGUUCUUCAGCAUUGAAGUGGUUUCUGUAAUGGUUAUAGUGACUGUGAAUUUAUUUCUGUUAACUGUGGUUUAUUUGUAGGCAGAAUGGGCGGAAAGAAUAGAGGAAUGUGUCAUAGUUGUAGAGUUAGGGGCCAUUUCUUUGAUGAAUGCCCAAGGAAGCGCAGAUGCCGGGAAUCCAAGAAUGGAUUUGAGAAGUGUUUCAUGGUGGAGAAGCAGAUAGCAAAUAAAGGGAGAUUAUUUCUCUGUUGCAGUUAGAAAUGCAGAUUUUGCGAAUGGGUUGUGAAAGAAAAAUCACCCAGUGAAUCGUCUAGCGACAAUUCUUCAUUAGUUAACCUUGCGAUGAACGAAAAUGAUGAAGAAAUGUCCAAAAUGUUUGAAUCUCGAGUUUACCUAAACGAUGAUGAAGACCUACAUAUUUCGGUGAACGUGCGAAUAUGCAAGGCAAAUUCUAGUGUGGAAGCAAAUGAAAAAGGGAAGCGAUUGACUUGAUUAUUAGAUAAAAAUUAGCUUUUGGCUUUUGACAUAACUUUUGUAUGUGUAGCACUAUCUCGUGUUAGCUCUUAUUUUCUUCACGUAGUAAUUAUUAUGUACCGACUGAGAUGGAUUAGGAAUGUG
rnacentral:lncRNA from 1 species